rnacentral:misc_RNA from 1 species
AAGUCGUAACAAGGUUUCCGUAGGUGAACCUGCGGAAGGAUCAUUAAAAAUUUUUACCAAUCAUAUGGAAAAAAUAAAAAUCCAUAUCCACCUUGUGUGCAUUUAUUGAAUGUUUGCUUUUGGGAGUUGCAGAGCCUAUUUUUUAAAAUAUCAAAAGGGGAGGGAUUAUCGCAUUCGCGUGAAAACUCCUCGAGAUUGCUAAAAUUUAGCGGGGUUCCGUAAGGAAUUUCCCGGCCUCCCAAAGGUUUUCUUUUGAAAACUCCAUUCUUUAUAUAAAAUAUUGUCUAAAAAUUAAAAUAUCUUUGAUAUUAAAUUUAAAUUGAAAAACAACUUUCAACAACGGAUCUCUUGGUUCUC